GGACAGCUUCCAGCCCUGGCUCAGGGGAUCCAGGAGGCGCCUGGCGGGUAGUGUUGAAGGACAUGUGGUAGGUGAGGUGGGGGUUUCCAGGAGGUUCUGGUAUCAGUGCAUUGGCACUAGAGCGAGGGAGCUGGAGGAUAGGACAUCAUGUUGAGGGUUAUGAGAGGGAGGAAGGCUAGAAACGGGAGAGCAUGAGGGGCGCGGUCUUUCCUGAUGCCCGGGGCGGGACCAUGGGCAGGGGGAUACUCCAGUGAGGAGGAGGGAAACAUCGAAGAGGACGGAGAGUCUCCAGGAUGACCGGGUGAGCCUCGUGGGCAAUGAGGACGGAUCAGAAGAGUGAGGGCUGAGAGAACAGCAGCAAAAAGGAGUCAUUAUCGCAGAAUAGGAUCAUCAUCCUCUUCAAUUCAGGAAACUAAGUCACGCAGACUGUGUCUCCACCAGGUGCCAUCAACCCAUGGAAGAAACUGCCAGUUCCUGUGAUGGCCAGUGGAGGGAGCGACCCCACUGCUGCUUCUACUUGCUACAGAUUCAACUGUGAUGACUGACUUCCUUCACUACAACUCCUCUGAGCAGAACACACCUAAAUAUGAAAUGAAGUAUGUGCCUGUGCACGUGGCAGUCAUCUGCUUGCAGGGGACAGUUCCGAUCAUCCCUAACCAAUCCAGCCACAGUUGGAGGAGACAUAGCAUCUGGUCCCUGCUUAGAACUACUUCCUCAGUGAAUGAAGGACCGGGACUCAAGGUAAAUUCUCAGUCAAUAAAGCGUAGCUCUUCGUGGACCAGUUACUUUUGUGUUAAUAAUGACACAGGAGAAUGGAGUAAGCAGGACAUCUGUGGAAUCAGAUUCUCUUCCCUUUGGGGGUGGGGAUUGGAGUGCAUGUUUCCUAUGACCCCUAAUUCUGGAAACUCCUGACCAAAGAGGCUGCAAGGUUCAUUACACACAUGUGGGUCACACUGUUGCCUCAUCAGCCACAGUUGUAGCCUCACAGUGGAACUGGGGUCAAGAUCCUGAGAGCACCAUUCAGGUCACUUAACGUUUCCGAAGGACCAAGUGGCAAUGUAGGCCCCGCAACUAUGUGUCCAGACGAUGGACAGUUGAAUGACAUCAGGCUGCUAGUGGAGUCUCUGACACUG
rnacentral:lncRNA from 1 species